UACAGAGGUCCCAAGCGUUGUUCGGAUUCAUUGGGCGUAGAGGGUGCGUAGGCGGCGCGGUAAGUCGGGUGUGAAAUCUCGGAGCUUAACUCCGAAACUGCAUUCGAUACUGCCGUGCUUGAGGACUGGAGAGGAGACUGGAAUUCAUGGUGUAGCAGUGAAAUGCGUAGAGAUCAUGAGGAAGACCAGUGGCGAAGGCGGGUCUCUGGACAGUUCCUGACACUGAGACACGAAGGCCAGGGGAGCAAACGGG
rnacentral:rRNA from 1 species